AUGGUGUGGGCGAUAUGUUAUGUGUCGUACUCUAACGGCAUUUUAUUGAAUUACUAAAAACAACUGUCUAAAGAAACAGAAUACAUUAUCUAAGCGGUGUUUUUACUUAAAUAUCCUUUCGUAGAAACAAAUACUUCUUCAACAAUGCAUUCAUUGUAUACAUUACAUCUAACCGUGUUACGUCUCUACCAAAGGUUAAUUUUAAAAGAUGAUAAAAAUUUAUCUAUAUUACAACUGUCCAUCAUGUUGAUAUUCUAAGUGUCUGACUAAUAAUACGAAGCAGAAGACGUAAAUAAAUAAAAAGCACAUGAUCGAUGCAUGAACAGGACAGGACCGAUUAUGGAUUCCAAAUCCCUGCGAAUUAUAGUAUAAGAUAUUUUUAUAAAUAAUAAUUUGUGUUUCACUUUCAUUACAAUAUAAACAUACAUAGAUAAUGGAAUAAA